GCUCGCCUCGGCGCUUCCGGGUCACGUGAAGGCGGGCGGUGGCGGAGCGCGGCCGCCGCACCAUAGAGUUGUGCUCUAGAGCGGCAGGGCGUAGGAAAGGAAGAGGAGGAGGGGGAACCAUAGAGUCGUGCCUAGAGCGGGAGUCAUGGCGGGGUACGGCGUGGCGAACGAGCGGCUGCGGGUGUUGGAGGAGCUGGAGAGGGAGAUUGGGGCGUCCCUGCAGAGCGCGGGGACGGUGAUCCUGGAGCUGUCGAAGGAGAAGGCGGGUGAGCGGCUGCUGGAGCGCCAGGCCGCCCAGUUCGGCGCCGCCGUCCAGAAGGUGGAGGCAGAGCUGUCAGCGCAGAUCCGGUACCUGACACAGGUGGCCACGGGGCAACCGCACGAGGGCUCGAGCUACGCGGCCCGGAAGGCGACGGAGUUGGCGCUGAACCGCGUGGAGUACGCCCGGCGGCGGCUCGGGGAGCUCGCCAGCGCCUGCGAGGCGGCCACCGAGCCCUGACGGACAGACGGACACACGGACACACGGCCAGCGCCUGCGAGGCGGCCACCGAGCCCUGACGGACACACGGACACACGGACACACGGCCAGCGCCUGCGAGGCGGCCACCGAGCCCUGACGGACACACGGACACACGGCCAGCGCCUGCGAGGCGGCCACCGAGCCCUGACGGACAGACGGACACACGGCCAGCGCCUGCGAGGCGGCCACCGAGCCCUAACGGACAGACGGACGGACAGAUAUCAGCUCCAACAUGGAGAAAUGGACGCUGGGGCGGAGACACGGACGGGAUACGGACACACGGACACCAAGUACGGCACACGAAGGCGCGCGGUAUUGACGUCAUCGGGAGGCGACGGGGCAGCGCGAUGCUGGAGGCGCUGGUGGAGGGGGGCGUGGAGGGGCUGGUCCUGAUCCGGGAUAGCGCCGCCUGCGAGGGGCGCAGCCUCCUCAGGACCUUCGCCUGCGCCGCUGCACGAAGGGAGGAGCCGGUGCUGCUGCUGCUGUUGGAAGUGCCGCGAGCGCAGUUCGAGGCCGGGCUGAACCCCGACAUCACCCGCCGGUUCCAGGUGAUGGAAGCAUUCCAGGACCCCCUGGGUUGGGGGGGGGGGGCCCCCCCUGGAUAUUGGGGGGCUCUUGGGGGGGUCACCCCCUUUUCCUUCCACGCUGCUGCUCUUGGAUUCGCUGAGUUGGAUCCUGCUGCGUCUGCCCCCCCCCCGCGCCGGGGGGGUCCUGAGGGCGCUGCUGGGGGGGGGACACCCCCAAAAUGGGCGCCCCCCACCCCGUGUGGUGGCGCUGCUGCACGAGGACCUGCACCCCCCCCCCAUUCUGGGGGCGCUGGGGGGGGUCGCCACCACCCAGAUUCGAAUGGGGGGGCCCCCGAACCCCAAAUUUAUGGGGGGGGGUCCCUCCAACCCAGGAGCGCCCCCACAUGUCCUCAGCAUCCUCAGACCCCCCCGGAGGUGGGGGGGGCAGGAAAAGGUUGAAGCCUUCGCUCGGGGUCCCCCCUCGGAUUUUGGGGUCCCCCCCUCGCGCCCCCCCCUCACUUUCCGCCUGCAGCUCUCAGCGGCCGAAAGGGCAGCGAGGGGGGCAACGACCCCCCCGUACCAGCACAG